GGCCGAUUGGAGUAGUUGGUUAUCUCGUAUCGUUUACAGAGCUGUAAAAAGCUUGAACCCGAUAAGGUCGUCGGAUCGAGCCCGGCAUCGGUCA
rnacentral:tRNA from 1 species